rnacentral:rRNA from 1 species
GGCGAACGGGUGAGGAUUACAUGGGUAACCUACCCUCGAGUGGGGGAUAACCAGCCGAAAGGUUGGCUAAUACCGCGUACGCUUCCGAGACUGCGGUUUCGGAAGGAAAGCGAUACCAUGGGUAUCGCGCUCUUGGAUGGGCUCAUGCCCUAUCAGCUUGUUGGUGAGGUAACGGCUCACCAAGGCAUCGACGGGUAGCUGAUCUGAGAGGAUGAUCAGCCACACUGGCACUGCGACACGGGCCAGACUCCUACGGGAGGCAGCAGUAAGGAAUAUUGCGCAAUGGGCGAAAGCCUGACGCAGCGACGCCGCGUGGGGGAUGAAGGUCUUCGGAUUGUAAACCCCUUUCGGGAGGGAAGAUGGGAUGGGGUAACCCAUUCGGACGGUACCUCCAGAAGCAGCCACGGCUAACUUCGUGCCAGCAGCCGCGGUAAUACGAAGGUGGCAAGCGUUGUUCGGAUUUACUGGGCGUACAGGGAGCGUAGGCGGUUAGGUAAGCCCUCCGUGAAAUCUCCAGGCUUAACCUGGAAAGUGCAGAGGGGACUGCUUAGCUAGAGGAUGGGAGAGGAGCGCGGAAUUCCCGGUGUAGCGGUGAAAUGCGUAGAGAUCGGGAGGAAGGCCGGUGGCGAAGGCGGCGCUCUGGAACAUUUCUGACGCUGAGGCUCGAAAGCGUGGGGAGCAAACAGGAUUAGAUACCCUGGUAGUCC